GUUGCGCUUGGGGGGCGGAAGCUGCGGCGAGGAGGGGAAGCAAAACAAAGCGGGAGAGGGGCGGGAGGAGCCGGGAUGUGACGGGCGGCGGCGGCGGCGGCGGGGAGAGCGGCCCAGGUGGGAAGAAUGAAAGAAAGGUGGGACGAAAGAAUGUUGAACUGUUCUGUAUGGCUGUACGAUGGAAGGAAACAGAACAGAGAAUCUCUGCAGUAGAUCAUUUGGAUGGCUUCAACAACCAGAUAAUGAUGCUAAGCCAUGGCUCUGGAAAUUCUCUAAUUGCUUUUCUGCUGCUGAACAGACUUUGCCUUUCAGUGCAAAACCGAAAGAUUACAUGGAGAACAAGAAAGCUGUUGUGGAAUUGAAGGAUGCUUCAUCUCCUCUUCACACUGGCUCUAAACUAUUUCCAGCAGUACCACUUCCUGAUGUUCGUUCUCUUCAACAACAGCAAAUACAGCUUUCACCUAGCCCCAAAGUAAGCUGCUGUGCUCAUGGAUCGGACUCCUCUUGUACUUCUCAGCUGCAUUUUGGUGGUGGUGGUGGUGGUGGUUUGAUUCAUUCUGGCACAGUAUUAGACUCUCAAAGCACUGGGACAAUUACUUGUCAAAUUGGGUCAGGGUUUGCUUAUCCAUCUGCAUCUUCGCUCAAGAAUGCUCCAGCUAGAAACAAUUUGGCAGGCAUUUCAAGCGAUUUCCCCAGCAUGUGUAUGGAAAAUAAUGUAUCUUCCUGUCAACAUCUGCCAUGCUGUGGUAAAUUUCAUUUCCAGUCUUGUCAUGGUAGUGCACACAAACUCCAUCAAUUUCCGGCCCUUCAGAGCUGCACAUCUUCUGGCUAUUUUCCCUGUUCCGAAUUUACAAGUGGGGCUACGGGGCACUUGGAGGAGCGUGUUACACAAUCGGAGCUAACAUCACGUGUAUGCACCAAUUCUUUGCACCUAAAUGUGGCACCUUCGGUCUGUUUAAAGGGCUCUCACUACUGUAAAGAAUGUUUAACCAAGGUUUGUACAUUUCAUGUUUCUUCUUAAAGUACUAUAUAUUGUAAAUGGUUAAAUAAUGAAUGUUAACUGGGAAACAAAUAGGUAGGAUGGUAUGUAUAGCGCUUGAAUUAC